rnacentral:rRNA from 1 species
CGAGUGCUUGCACUCAAUUGGAAAGAGGAGUGGCGGACGGGUGAGUAACACGUGGGUAACCUACCCAUCAGAGGGGGAUAACACUUGGAAACAGGUGCUAAUACCGCAUAACAGUUUAUGCCGCAUGGCAUAAGAGUGAAAGGCGCUUUCGGGUGUCGCUGAUGGAUGGACCCGCGGUGCAUUAGCUAGUUGGUGAGGUAACGGCUCACCAAGGCCACGAUGCAUAGCCGACCUGAGAGGGUGAUCGGCCACACUGGGACUGAGACACGGCCCAGACUCCUACGGGAGGCAGCAGUAGGGAAUCUUCGGCAAUGGACGAAAGUCUGACCGAGCAACGCCGCGUGAGUGAAGAAGGUUUUCGGAUCGUAAAACUCUGUUGUUAGAGAAGAACAAGGACGUUAGUAACUGAACGUCCCCUGACGGUAUCUAACCAGAAAGCCACGGCUAACUACGUGCCAGCAGCCGCGGUAAUACGUAGGUGGCAAGCGUUGUCCGGAUUUAUUGGGCGUAAAGCGAGCGCAGGCGGUUUCUUAAGUCUGAUGUGAAAGCCCCCGGCUCAACCGGGGAGGGUCAUUGGAAACUGGGAGACUUGAGUGCAGAAGAGGAGAGUGGAAUUCCUGGUUAUA